GAUGAAGAACGCAGCGAAAUGCGAUACUUGGUGUGAAUUGCAGAAUCCCGUGAACCAUCGAGUCUUUGAACGCAAGUUGCGCCCGAAGCCAUUAGGCCGAGGGCACGCCUGCCUGGGCGUCACACGUCGUUGCCCCCCCCAUCUACUCCUUCGGGAUUGCGGGGGGCGGAUGAUGGCCUCCCGUGCGCCUCGCCGCGCGGUUGGCAUAAAUGCCAAGUCCUCGGCGACGCACGCCACGACAAUCGGUGGUUGCGAAACCUCGGUUGCCCGUCGUGUGCGGUCGUCGCGCAUCGAGGGCUCGAAAAAAUUGCCGAGUUCCGGCUCGGCUUUCAACGCGACCCCAAGUCAGGCGGGGUUACCCGCUGAAUUUAAGCAUAUCAAUAAGCGGAGGA
rnacentral:misc_RNA from 1 species